rnacentral:lncRNA from 1 species
CCCUCCUCCGGCCACCCCGCGCCACUGCAGGGACCUGGGAGACGCCGGGCACGCGCGUUUCCCCCCGGGCGCGCCCCCGCCUGUCCCCGCUGGGGCUCCCCAAGGGGUGCAGGCGGCGAGCGCGACCCCCUGGCCGAGAUCUUCCGGCAGAACGGCCCCUCUCGACCCCAUGAGAAAGGGUCCCUGCGGCCUCCAGGCUGCGCCCACGUGCACGCGGGGUCGUCACCCCGGACGCAAGCUGUCCUGCCGGGGCGUGGGGGGCGCUUAGGGAGAGAGCCGGUCUGGGGUGGGCACCAGGCUGCGGGGAGGCUGGAUGGCGUCUGCCCCCAGGAGCUGCCCAGCCGCGCGCGCGCGCGUCAGCCCCCUUGGCAGAGCUGCGCGCCGAUGAGUGUAGCCACGCCAGAAGGACGCUGUGCUGGAGUUGGCUGGAGACAGGCUGUGGCCUUGGGCGAGGGGAGGAGGACAUUCCGGGCAGUGAAUAGAACACUUGGUCAUCCUUCCGAGAGGACAAGCAGGUGGCAGGCACGGAGCCCCCAAGUGACGGAGCGAGCAGUGGACGGCGAGGCAGAUGGGUCCUUAAAGGGUCGUUAACAUCUUAUGUGUCAGCUUCCAGCACUCCGGAAUUGCUCCCUCAAGGCCUUCCUUCAGUAGAUGAAAAACUCCCUUCAGACUGGAAGCACUAUCGAGACCGCUGUUAACGCGGUACCUGCACAGAUGAAGUGCUAAGUAAAUACAAGAUGAAGGAAAGACCUCCAGAGAAAGGAAGGAUGAUACUGGACUGUUUCAUUUUCAGUACUGGAAAGACACUGGGCAGUGUAGUUGGAUUAAGACGGGGCUGGAGACCAGCAUAUAGGCUAAUCUCUGCAGUCCUUGUGAACUGCCACUUUUCUUUCCCAUACUAUGUUCAUAUCUUAAGAAAAUUGUGCUUGCCUCCCUUUCCCCACUAUUCCCUCACCAGGUUCUGGGCACAUAUUCUUCAUAUUUUAGCUUGGGCAUUGCCAAGAGAAAAUCCCUCAGGCUUCCCAGAAGGAGUCAUACCCCUCCAGUGUUCCCUCCCAGCACUGUACUUACCCUUUUCUUGCAUUUACUGCUCUGCUGUAGAAUGGGUUGUUCAUUUGCAAGAACCUCUCAUUAAGAUGGUAAGCUCCUUGAAGCUGGGGGUGGGAUGUAUCUCAUCCAGUUCAUCAUUGUAUACUCCUAGCACACAAUAAAUAUUUAAUUAAUGAACAGAUUGCAGAUUUAUAAAAUAGAAUCCAUAAAACUCAGUGGCUUCCUGGUAUAAGGAGCUGAGUGAGUGAUGGUUCCACUAGCCAGAAUAAAGGCUGGGAUCUUUAUUCCCUCCUCUGAGAGGAAUGACCAUGGGGGGGAAGAUGGCCAAAUAAUGACCUGUACUAAGGUCAUAUAGCACAG